GGCCUUCCGCCCUUUUCUCUGUGGCCUGCUGUAUCUCUUUCAUAGUAGUUGGGGAUGUGGAAUGGAUGUGUGGUGUUGAUGGGGGCAAAUGCUUCUACCCCUUAUUCCCUCCCAUGCCAGGGGCAGCAAGCACAAUAGAUGGUAGAGCUGUUUCGGAGAGGAGAGGAAAAGGGGACUUUUCUGGCAUGGUUCAGGGGUGGAGGUGCUUGGGAAUGGGGAAGAGGAGCAGCACACCAUGGACCCAGGAUGAAGCUCGAUCCAGGUGUCCCAGCCCUUAGGGAAGGCUCCCCACUCACCGAGGAAGAGCUGUGGAUGAGAUGGCUCCUUCAGGCGGCUGCAGGACCUUAGCCUGAUGGCCCCAGGAUUUAUAGACCAGGCAGCUCCACCCCCAGACUCCAGUGACGUCUUGAGAGGAGAGGGGGAGCUUACUACCCAUCCCCCUUCCCAGAGCAUCCACUCCACGAACAUUCACCAGGCAGCUGCUGCCCUGAGGCCACCAACAGAUGCUCCCUGGCCACCACCUUCCCAGGAGCCUCCAGGCCCGGGACUCCUGCUUCUGGCUGGCCCAUGUCCUGGUCUCACCUUCUUACUUGCCAGGCUGCAUCUUCAAGCUCCUCAUCUUGAGACCUAGAAAGCCCUCACAGCCCUCCCUGACGUCAAAAGAGCGUCCUGGGCAGGGGAAAUGCCUGGGGGUUCCCCAACUCUCAGCUCAGGGCUUUCCCUGGUGGAGAGUGGAGGCCUAAGAGUAGGGAGCCUGGCAGGCUGUUCAGAGGUACAGGGGAGGCUGUGACCACUGUCCCAAAGGGCUUGUUUGCUCACUAUAGAGUGGGUUGGGUGGGACAAUCCACAUCCACAUACCUGGGAACCAGGGCUGGGUCACUCCAGAUGGCUGGGUUUGGGUGGGCAGUACCUACCCAGGAGUGGCUUCUCUCCUGGCGAAGAAGCGGACCCAUGAGAGGGGCCCAGCUGUUGGGCCAGUGCAGCCUCCCAGGGCCAUCAGCAGCUGGUAGAAUAAUUUUGUUCCUCAAGGCUCUAACCCCUCCCCAGUCAUGGAUUUAGACACAACUAGCCUGGCUGCUGGAAGUGGGCUCUUGCCUCCCAGUCUGCGUCAGCAGCUCAGCUUUCCCUGGCCAGCCAUCAGCCUCUGGGGGGUCAGAGGCCUAUUUACAGGGUUAAUAGCCAAUCUCCGCGCUUGGGCUGAACAGCAUAUGGGAGGGCCAGGGUCAGGCUUGGCAUUGUGGUGGACAGAGUCAUUAGGAGAGCUGGUGCAUCAAAUCCUGUGACAAAGAUGGGGAAGGGGAGGCAUAAUGGGCAUCAGUCAGCCCUAGACACCUGGACUUCAGCAGCCAAGGCAGGAUGGGCACACCUGUGAAUUUCCAGACUGACUUAUUAGCAGGGACCUGAAACGAAUGUGUGGCCCGUAUGUUCAGUUAAAUUGUUUUGGCUUAAAUACACAGACUUUGUUAACUGGGUGAUUUUUAGGAAAACAUUUGCUUUGUGGUUUAGUGAAAAUGAAUCGGCCGGGCGCGGUGGCUCAAGCCUGUAAUCCCAGCACUUUGGGAGGCCGAGACGGGCGGAUCACGAGGUCAGGAGAUCGAGACCAUCCUGGCUAACACAGUGAAACCCCGUCUCUACUAAAAAAAUACAAAAAAACUAGCCGGGCGAGGUGGCGGGCGCCUGUAGUCCCAGCUACUCGGGAGGCUGAGGCAGGAGAAUGGCGUAAACCCAGGAGGCGGAGCUUGCAGUGAGCUGAGAUCCGGUCAGCCUGGGCGACAGAGAGAGACUCCGUCUCCAAAAAAAAAAAAAAAAAAAAAAAAAA
ensembl:lncRNA